AUUGAACGCUGGCGGCAUGCUUUACACAUGCAAGUCGGACGGCAGCACAGAGAAGCUUGCUUCUUGGGUGGCGAGUGGCGAACGGGUGAGUAAUAUAUCGGAACGUACCGAGUAAUGGGGGAUAACUAAUCGAAAGAUUAGCUAAUACCGCAUAUUCUCUGAGGAGGAAAGCAGGGGACCUUUGGGCCUUGCGUUAUUCGAGCGGCCGAUAUCUGAUUAGCUAGUUGGUGGGGUAAAGGCCUACCAAGGCGACGAUCAGUAGCGGGUCUGAGAGGAUGAUCCGCCACACUGGGACUGAGACACGGCCCAGACUCCUACGGGAGGCAGCAGUGGGGAAUUUUGGACAAUGGGCGCAAGCCUGAUCCAGCCAUGCCGCGUGUCUGAAGAAGGCCUUCGGGUUGUAAAGGACUUUUGUCAGGGAAGAAAAGGCUGUUGCUAUAUCGACAGCUGAUGACGGUACCUGAAGAAUAAGCAC
rnacentral:rRNA from 1 species